GGCCUAAUGGUCUAGAAGUAUGAUACUCGCUUUGGGUGUUGACCGAUUGCGAGUGGUCCUGGGUUCAAUUCCCAGUUAGGCCC